GCCCCGUAACUUCGGGAGAAGGGGUGCCCCCUCACAAAAGGGGGCCGCAGUGACCAGGCCCGGGCGACUGUUUACCAAAAACACAGGUCUCCACAAAGUUGUAAGACCAUGUAUGGGGGCUGACGCCUGCCCAGUGCCGGAAGGUCCUAGUCUGGUGUCUGAUGAUGGUGUUACUGUUGAUGAUCAUGACCAAAUGGCGGGAGUUCUUUGGCACU
rnacentral:ncRNA from 1 species